CACCACCAGCACCAGGCCCGGGUCGUCGAUGCGCUCGGGCCGCGCCAGGCGCAGCACGGCCUCCACGAAGACGGUGAAGCAGAGCGCGAUACUCUGGAGGCUGAGGCAGAAAGAUCGCAUGAACCCAGGAGUUCAAGGCCAGCUGGGGAACAUGGGAGACCCAACUCAAAAAGAGCAAGUUUCAGAAUCCAUUCCAGCCUCUGGCACAUCGCUGUCCUGGUCCAUAAAGCAUAACCUUAUGCUUCAGUGAUCUGAGGUCCCUAACAACUGCACCGAAUCAUCCUUGACAGAGGGACCCGCCUUCAACUAGAUGAGCCCAGACUCGGGGAGCUCCUCAAACACUUCCCUGCACCCCAAGGCAAAUGUCCUUAUGCUGAGAGCAUGAAGGAUUGAUCACGCAAACAGUUCUCUAAAAAUUAAUAUUAGAACCAUCAAUAAAAAAGAGGUAAGAAGAUA